CUUCUUUAAGGAAUAGCCUCUGGAAACGGAGAGUAAUACCUUAUACGCCCUUUGGGGGAAAGAUUUAUCGGAGAAGGAUUAGCCCGCGUUAGAUUAGGUAGUUGGUGGGGUAAUGGCCUACCAAGCCUACGAUCUAUAGCUGGUUUGAGAGGAUGAUCAGCCACACUGGGACUGAGACACGGCCCAGACUCCUACGGGAGGCAGCAGUAGGGAAUCUUAGACAAUGGGGGCAACCCUGAUCUAGCCAUGCCGCGUGUGUGAUGAAGGCCCUAGGGUCGUAAAGCACUUUCGCCAGAGAUGAUAAUGACAGUAUCUGGUAAAGAAACCCCGGCUAACUCCGUGCCAGCAGCCGCGGUAAUACGGAGGGGGUUAGCGUUGUUCGGAAUUACUGGGCGUAAAGCGCACGUAGGCGGAUUAGUAAGUUAGAGGUGAAAUCCCAGGGCUCAACCCUGGAACUGCCUUUAAUACUGCUAGUCUUGAGUUCGAGAGAGGUAAGUGGAAUUCCGAGUGUAGAGGUGAAAUUCGUAGAUAUUCGGAGGAACACCAGUGGCGAAGGCGGCUUACUGGCUCGAUACUGACGCUGAGGUGCGAAAGUGUGGGGAGCAAACAGGAUUAGAUACCCUGGUAGUCCACACCGUAAACGAUGAAUGCCAGACGUCAGCAAGUAUACUUGUUGGUGUCACACCUAACGGAUUAAGCAUUCCGCCUGGGGAGUACGGUCGCAAGAUUAAAACUCAAAGGAAUUGACGGGGGCCUGCACAAGCGGUGGAGCAUGUGGUUUAAUUCGAAGC
rnacentral:rRNA from 1 species